rnacentral:misc_RNA from 1 species
GUCAAAAGAUUCAAAGAUAUAUUAUGUAAAAAUUAAAAAGAAAGUCAUUACUUCUAGUAACAAAAUAAAAAUACAUAAAAGAAAAAAUGAAGACACCAAAAAUAAAAAAUUGCAACAAGAUAAAAUGAUCAACACUGUAGUUAGAAUAGUGAAUGAUACUUUGUUAGAAUAAAUUUGUUUUAAAAUUAUUUUAAUGAAAAUAAUAAUUAAAUAAUUUAAAAGUAAUUAAAAUUAAAAUAAAAAGUUGAAAUUAUAUAUAUUGGGGGUUGUUUGGAACAGGUGGGAGGGUGGUUGAAAUUGGGAAAAAGAAAAAUGAGGAUACUAUUUUUAGGGGGAAAAAAAAAAGAUAAGGGUCACUGCUCUUGUCAACAGUGUUUUAGAGUAUCAUUUUAAUAUAGAUAAUAGAAGAUGACGAUUUUUCUUGGAAAACGAAGAAUCAUGAAGUGUUAUGAGAUAAAUAGAUAAAGAAGGAUAAAAUUGUAUUUUUACUGUUCUUUAGGAACAGUAAAAGUGAUGUGUGUUUUAGUAAUAUAUAAUAAUCCCAAAUCAAAAUACUUAAAAAAGAGUUUGCAAUUUGCACACUUUUUUUUGUGAUAGUUAACCUUUCCUUUGCUUGUACUUAUUUUACAUUCUCGUAUAUGGUAUUUUAGAUUUGUAGCUUGCUGAAGAGGAUAUCAACCCAAUGAUGAAUUAGCCUGUAAUUAGGCUAAUCCAUGGUAUAGAGCAGAAUAGUCAUCUAGUUUGCAUUUGGCUUCGAAACAGGAAGCAUUUGGAGUAUCAGUUACUUGUUAUAGUUGAAUUUGAUGGUGACAUAAAUAGCUUCUUACUUGCUGACUUUUAGCUUACUAGUUUACACUAGUAAGUAGUUUGCGCUUAGCCGAU